ACCUCGGUGGCUCAGAGGCGAGAGCGUCGGCCUACGGAUCGCCAUGUGGCGGGUUCGAAUCCCGGCCGAGGUG
rfam:Ixodes scapularis strain Wikel colony gcontig_1108378928116, whole genome shotgun sequence.